GCAAAACGCGAAGAACCUUACCAGGUCUUGACAUCCCUUUGACCGGUGCAGAGAUGUGCCUUCCUUCGGGACAAAGGAGACAGGUGGUGCAUGGUUGUCGUCAGCUCGUGUCGUGAGAUGUUGGGUUAAGUCCCGCAACGAGCGCAACCCUUGAUCUUAGUUGCCAGCACUUUGGGUGGGCACUCUAGGAUGACUGCCGGUGACAAACCGGAGGAAGGUGGGGAUGACGUCAAAUCAUCAUGCCCCUUAUGACCUGGGCUACACACGUACUACAAUGGCCGAUACAACGGGAAGCGAAGUCGCGAGGCGGAGCCAAUCCUAUCAAAGUCGGUCUCAGUUCGGAUUGCAGGCUGCAACUCGCCUGCGUGAAGUCGGAAUCGCUAGUAAUCGUGAAUCAGAAUGUCACGGUGAAUACGUUCCCGGGUCUUGUACACACCG
rnacentral:rRNA from 1 species